ensembl:lncRNA
AGUGACUGUGCCUUCUACUGCUCUGCCUGAAGAGGGGACAGGCAGAAUGAAUACCUAAAAGUCUGAAAAUCCACUGCAAAAUAUAAAUUGAAGCCUUGAGAACUGCCUACACUUACUUAAAGGAUAAAAAUGUUAAAAAAUCAGGAGAAGAUUUACCCAUCGUGGCUGCACCAACCUGAAUUACUGCCCACAGCCAUCUUCUAGCAUUACCAGUCAUCGAGGCUGAAAUACCAGUAUUGUGAUUGCCAUCAUUCUCCAAGAAGCAUUUGUACCGGUAAAGGCAUUAUGAAAAACCAACCAACCAAACAAAACCAUAAGAGUUUUUCUGAUUAAUAUGAACAGUAUAGCAGGACCAAAAUUCCAUCACUUUAUUCGGGGUCUUUGAGGAGCAGACAGAACCAAGUUUCUGAAGAAUUGCCUCUUUCAUCUCUCAGAAAACUGAGCCUGUAAUUAUAUUCCACAUCCUGCUACAGACAGCUUUUAUAUCAUUGCCAGGCACUUGUUCUUCCUAGGUAUGUUAACGUGCCAUUUCUGAGGUUUUCAUAAUUUUUAGGUAUGGAUGAUUCAUUCUGAGCAGCGUUGAAGGAGUCUUGAAAACUUCUGUCUCUUUUUUUUUCCACGUAUUUUUUACAAACUCAGUCACAGCUUCCCAUAGACAUGAGUUCGAAACAGAGCAUGUGCAGCCUCCGUAUUUACAGAAAUACCUCUGACUUAACACAAAAUGAGCAGUGAAAGCUGAAUCCUUCCCUGCCACGGCAAACGGGGAAGGAAAUGCUGGAAGGGAGAUCCUGCGGAGGAUAAGAGUGCAAAGGCAGCAAGGAGGGGAGGGGGCAGGCAGGUGGGGAGCGCGAUAACCAGCAGGGUUAUCUCUGAGGGAUGCGUGCCAGGUCAUGUGCUGAUAUUUCUCUGAAGCGGAUGAUGGGCAGGAGUUUGGCAAUAAUAAAUGGGAUAAGAGUGUUUGCGUAAACACGGACAGGAUGCGGGCUGGUGCUGUGAAAACAGCUGCAGACACCGCUGGUGGAGUGGGGUCUGACCUGCUCUGCUUAAACUGUAAAGAUAGUUCAUUCAUCAUGGAGUACUGCCACUGGAAAUGAGCAUGAAGAGAGAUUCAAGUUCCGCUCAGAAAAACUGAAGGACAGAGCUGCAUAGUUCACCGUGUCAAGCUCAUGUAUUUAUGGUUCAAAGGGCUCUCCUCACCCCCAGACUUGAAGCUUACAGAGGAAUCCAAGAAAGCUGGUUCUUUACCCGGUGGUUAUGUUUUUAAUUACACUGUCAAAAUAAAAUCAUGCUCAUAAGCCAGGUGCUGUACACCAUAUACAUCUCCAGCAUGGAGAUGUCAGCACCUUUUUGGAGUGCAUGGGCAUCACCCUGCUGGCAGAGAGGUGGAACCCAGGUACAGACCCAGCUACCACCCGUGUCUGAAUUUCUCACCUACAUACUCAGCUGUCGGGUGCCCAACUGAAUUUGCAAGUGCAUGCUGAGAGGCAGGCUUCGUGGAUGAGGGAAGGCAAGAAGUAGAUAGAAGAUUUGCAGCAGAUCGAUCUGGACAGCACAGACAUGUCAUUUGUCUUCCUGGAGCUCCUUGGAAAAGGGUCAAGGCACCUUCAAGGGCACUGCUGCUUACAAAGAAGAAGCCCUUGGCGUCAGUGAAUGAUGACUAUUCAUUCCAGCAACCAAUCCAAUCCUCAGCUUCCAGAUCCCACUAUUCAACACGAUUUUGGAACAUUGUUAUUUGAUUAUUUUCACUUUUCUAUCAGAAUAUUUGCUCAUUCCUAUUUGUCUGUGUGAUAUUCUGACCACUACAUCUAUCACAAAACACCGUAGUACAUCUUGGAGUAAGUGUAACUGUGGAUUUUGCUUGCCUGAGCUUUUGAAAAUUUGAAAUGCAAUGCACUUCCCAAGGAGGAGCUAUCCUGCACAUGGGGAAUCAUGAGACUGGUUUAGCAUCCUGCAAACAUGUUUGGAGAGAACAAAAUUAAACAUCUAAGCAUGCUGAUUAAAGCACUGAUUCUGCAAAGACUUACUACCUGAC